CUGGAACCCAUUGUGUGCUGCGUCAAAGACAAUGAGCUGUUCACAUGGCUGCAGUUGUCUGAGUGUUAAACCCCUGUGCAGGUCCAUCUGAGCUCUCAGAAACAAGAACACCAUCAUUUAGCCUAAUGUCUCCUUCCUGAAAUGAGCCGUGGUUUGGUGACUGUGGAGAGGAAAAGCUCUGGACUACAUGGUAACAGCCAUGAAGGGGAGAAGCUCCUGUUCCAUCUCCUGCGUGGCUGUGACAGUUCAGGACCCCCCGCUGUUCACCAGAAUCGGCAACUAAAAGGAUCUUGAGGGAGGAACAUGAUGCCUGAGAUCCAUGAUGUACAGACGAUUCAAGGAGCUGAAAACAGGCCAUGAGCAGACACAGAAAGAAGGCAGCUGUCUGCAAGCCAAGGAAAGAGCCCUCACCAGAAACCAAUCCUUGCUGAUACCUGAUCCUGGACUUCUGGCCUCCAGAACAGUGAGAAAAUUAAUAUCUGUCAUUUAAGCCAUCCGGUCAGUGGCAUUUUAUUAUGGCAACUAGAGCAGACUAAUACACUAUCAGUGUUUAUUUUGAACCUACUAUUUAAAAGCAUUAAUACAUAGUACCAUAGGAAAUAGACACAGGCACUGUUGGGAAUGAUUCCAAACUGUUAGCCACAAACUCUGGAAAGAAAUAUGCAAAUAGCUGAGUUGAUGUGGGUUGAGGCUGGCCGGGAAACUGGAGUUUUCUGUAUUAAGUUACCUUAAUAAAUUACCCUGU